rnacentral:rRNA from 1 species
AGUGAACGCUGGCGGUAGGCCUAACACAUGCAAGUCGAACGGCAGCACAGUAAGAGCUUGCUCUUACGGGUGGCGAGUGGCGGACGGGUGAGGAAUACAUCGGAAUCUACUUUUUCGUGGGGGAUAACGUAGGGAAACUUACGCUAAUACCGCAUACGACCUACGGGUGAAAGCAGGGGAUCUUCGGACCUUGCGCGAUUGAAUGAGCCGAUGUCGGAUUAGCUAGUUGGCGGGGUAAAGGCCCACCAAGGCGACGAUCCGUAGCUGGUCUGAGAGGAUGAUCAGGCACACUGGAACUGAGAAACGGUCCAGACUCCUACGGGAGGCAGCAGUGGGGAAUAUUGGACAAUGGGCGCAAGCCUGAUCCAGCCAUACCGCGUGGGGGAAGAAGGCCUUCGGGUUGUAAAGCCCUUUUGGUGGGAAAAAAAAGCAGCAGGUUUAUACCCCGCUGUUCUGACGGUACCCAAAGAAUAAGCACCGGCUAACUUCGUG